rnacentral:lncRNA from 1 species
GAUGCACUUUGACCUCUUUGUCCUCUUGCCCUCCAGCAAGCAGAGGACCCUGCCAGACAGUCCAAGGGCUCAGCCCCAGAGCGCAGAACAAGGCAGAGAACGGCAGAGCUGGAAGAUCUGGAGAACAAAAAACCCUUUCAAAACAAACCUUUAAAGCCACCAAUGUAAAAUAAAGCAAAAUUGGAAAAAGAAGCAACACACAAAAGUUAAAAUUUUCCAAGAAAAUGCUACCUAUUUCGGAAAGCUGAAACGUUCUAUAACACAGUUUUGGUGAAGUGUUCCAGCCACAUAGUAUUUAGUUCCGUUUUACUGGAUGAGUUCGACUUCUUUGCAAAGCCUUUUGGGACUUACAUCACUCUAAUGAGAAAAGAAUACUCCUGUUAAAAAACAAAGGGCAUAGAUUAAAGCUCUUAAAAGUGCUGAUUAAAUAAUAAAGUAACCUAAAUAUAAACAAAAUGCUUAUUAAGUGAAAACUGGCUAGACUUCAAGGCAUAAAUUAAAGCCCUAUCAAGUAUUUCCCCUGCUUGCAGGCGCCCUGUCAAUUCUAGACAAACUGCUCAGACAUUCUACCCAUGAGGGCUGCCCGUGGGGUCGUUUACUUUUUUUCUCACACCUGUGCUUAAUGAGUAGCAGUUUUGCAAGCUUGGUCAUUUUCAAGGGAAGAAGAUGGGAAGGAUUUCAUGCAAAAAAAAGAAAAUCAAGAUAAGAAAGAAAACUACAGUAAUUUAUCUCCAUCCAACCUUCCUACCGAGACUGUGAAAUAGAAAAGGACAACACUAGCUCUUAAGGCUGAAAGUCUGAAGGUCACCUAGUCAGUGGCUGCCCCUCUCACAGCCCUAAAAGGGAUUAAGAACAGGAUAAAAGCUCCAAGUAUUCAGGACAAACAGCCCACUUUCGUCUAAACGUAACCCUUGGGGUCAAGAAGUUAUUUCUUAUCAGGGAUAAGAUUUUUUUUCAAUAGGCAAGGAAUCUGGCUAGGGAGGGGUAUGGUCUGUAACGUGCGUUUUACUCUUAAAAGAAAUCCAUUUUUCACUUGGAAAAAAAUUGCCCUUUAAAACUUAUUCCUUAAGUUGUUUUGAUUUCAAUCCUCUUUAAAUGACCGGAUCUGAUAAAUUCUUUUAAUCUUCAACUCAAAUGAAGACAAUUCAAUGUAGAUUUCUGUAACUGCUCCUGCUCCUCAUUAACUUCUCCAAGAACAAAACAGCCAAACACCUCCACCCUCCCCACACACAAAUAUUUGUGCUCCUCUUUGUUGUUGAAAUUUAAGUUGUCCUAAAUUCUGGGGAAAUCCUAUCGCCAUGGCAAUUCCAAGAAAAAACAAGGCACAGUCCUAAAUGAAGAUUUGUUCUGUCUCCGCCACAUACAUGCCAUCACACAAAUACUAGGUUUUGUAAGGAGUCACUGGUGUAGAAGAAAGAAUUCACUACUGUAUUAAAAGCAAACUUCCUCUUAGAAAAAUGAAGAAAUGAGGACGCCUUGUGUAUGCUGCUGCCACUUGGGAGCAUGCCCUUGGAACAAAAUUAGAAGGUGGUACAAGUCAAAAAGAAUAAAGAAAUACCACUUUGAAAUCAGCUUUUUAAAGACCACUUUAUUGAGGUAUAAUUUACAUACCAUAAAAUUCACCCACUUUAAGUGUACAACUCAAUGAUUUUUAGUAACUUUACCAAGUCGUGCAGCCACCACCACAAUCUGGUUUUAGAACGUUUAUUUCCAUCGCCCCAGUAAGAUUUCUUGUGCCCACUUACAGUUAAUUCCUGUUCCCAGCUCCAGCCCCAGGCGUGUGGGAAUCUACUUUUUGUCUCUUUUGUCACAUUUCCCUCUCCAAAUCGAGAUAAGGAAAAGAAAUCCAAGGAUAUUUCCUACAAAUAAAAGGCUACUGUU